CGGCGAGUGAAGCGGCAAUAGCUCAAAUUUGAAAUCUCUUUACUGAGAAUUGUAUUUUGAAGAUAUAUUUCUGGGACGGAUCCUGCUCAAGUCUUCUGGGAAGAAGCAUCAUGGAGGGUGAUAAUCCCGUGAGGCAGGUAAUCCUUACCGUGUAGAAUAAUAUCAAAGAGUCGAGUUGUUUGGGAAUGCAGCUCAAAGUGGGUGGUAAAUUCCAUCUAAAGCUAAAUAUCUGCGAGAGACCGAUAGCGGACAAGUACUGUGAAGGAAAGAUGAAAAGCACUUUGAAAAGAGAGUGAAAUAGCACGUGAAAUUGUUGAAAUGGAAGGGCUUGCCACCAGUCGUGACUGUAAAGUUCCACUUCCUCUUGGGGUUGUGUACUCUUUGCAGUCGGGUCAGCAUCAGUUUUGGCGGAAGGAUAAUCGGUAUUGAAUGUAGCUCCUCGGAGUAUUAUAGCCUUACCUGAUGCUUCCAGCUGGGAUUGAGGACCGCAUUUUUAGGAUGCUGGCAUAAUGGUGUCAAGCCACCC
rnacentral:rRNA from 1 species